rnacentral:rRNA from 1 species
UGGGGAAUUUUGGACAAUGGGCGAAAGCCUGAUCCAGCAAUGCCGCGUGUGUGAAGAAGGCCUUCGGGUUGUAAAGCACUUUUGUCCGGAAAGAAAUCCUUGGCUCUAAUACAGUCGGGGGAUGACGGUACCGGAAGAAUAAGCACCGGCUAACUACGUGCCAGCAGCCGCGGUAAUACGUAGGGUGCAAGCGUUAAUCGGAAUUACUGGGCGUAAAGCGUGCGCAGGCGGUUUGCUAAGACCGAUGUGAAAUCCCCGGGCUCAACCUGGGAACUGCAUUGGUGACUGGCAGGCUAGAGUAUGGCAGAGGGGGGUAGAAUUCCACGUGUAGCAGUGAAAUGCGUAGAGAUGUGGAGGAAUACCGAUGGCGAAGGCAGCCCCCUGGGCCAAUACUGACGCUCAUGCACGAAAGCGUGGGGGAGCAAACAGGAUUAGAUACCCCUGGUAGUCCACGCCCUAAACGAUGUCAACUAGUUGUUGGGGAUUCAUUUCCUUAGUAACGUAGCUAACGCGUGAAGUUGACCGCCUGGGGGAGUACGGUCGCAAGAUUAAAACUCAAAGGAAUUGACGGGGUCAUAGCUGUUUCC